UUAGGUGUCGCACUCUCUCCAGCCAGAGCCUCCAGAAAAGGGAAGCUGGAAGGGUGGUGGCCAGGUGUCCAUUUCCUGUGUGUUAGGCCGGCUGUGUGUUGGGCCAACGCUGUUUGCUGGCUGUGGACUGCAUUGUUGAUGGUGUUCGGCUGGUAGCGUUACCUGGGCGUGGGUGUUCGACGCCGCAGGGUUGCACCAGAUUGGAUACACCAAGAUUUGAUUUGGAAGUGUUGAUUUAUGCAAUGCAGUUUUUGCACUGCCUCCUGCUGUCCCUUUUAGCGUUUGGUUUGUUCUUUUUUGUUAG